GAUGAACGCUGGCGGCGUGCUUAACACAUGCAAGUCGAACGGUGAACACGGAGCUUGCUCUGUGGGAUCAGUGGCGAACGGGUGAGUAACACGUGAGCAACCUGCCCCUGACUCUGGGAUAAGCGCUGGAAACGGCGUCUAAUACUGGAUAUGUGACGUGAUCGCAUGGUCUGCGUCUGGAAAGAAUUUCGGUUGAGGAUGGGCUCGCGGCCUAUCAGCUUGUUGGUGAGGUAAUGGCUCACCAAGGCGUCGACGGGUAGCCGGCCUGAGAGGGUGACCGGCCACACUGGGACUGAGACACGGCCCAGACUCCUACGGGAGGCAGCAGUGGGGAAUAUUGCACAAUGGGCGCAAGCCUGAUGCAGCAACGCCGCGUGAGGGAUGACGGCCUUCGGGUUGUAAACCUCUUUUAGCAGGGAAGAAGCGAAAGUGACGGUACCUGCAGAAAAAGCGCCGGCUAACUACGUG
rnacentral:rRNA from 1 species